rnacentral:rRNA from 1 species
UACGUAGGAUGCAAGCGUUGUCCGGAUUUAUUGGUUUUAAAGGGUGCGUAGGCGGCAUAUUAAGUUAGUGGUGAAAACGUUCGUCUUAACGGGAUACCCGCCAUUGAUACUGAUAGACUUGAGUGCGACAGAGGGUGUUGGAAUGUGUGGUGUAGCGGUGAAAUGCUUAGAUAUCACGCAGAACACCAAUUGCGAAGGCAGAUGCCUAUGUCGUAACUGACGCUGAGGAGCGAAAGCGUGGGGAGCAAACAGG